CCUACGGGUGGCAGCAGUGAGGAAUAUUGGUCAAUGGCCGGAAGGCUGAACCAGCCAAGCCGCGUGAGGGAGGAAGGCGCAGAGCGUCGCAGACCUCUUUUGCCGGGGGACAAAAGGCCGGACUCGUCCGGUCCUGAGGGUACCCGGAGAAAAAGCAUCGGCUAACUCCGUGCCAGCAGCCGCGGUAAUACGGAGGAUGCGAGCGUUAUCCGGAUUCAUGGGGUUAAAAGGGUGCGCAGGCGGGCCUUUAAGCCGGCGGUGAAAUCGCGGGGCUCAACCCCGCCUAGCCGUCGGAAAUGGGGGCCUGGAGUGCGUCAGAGGCAUGCGGAAUGCGCGUUGUAGCGGUGACAUGCUUAGAUAUCGCGCAGAACCCCGAUUGCGAAGGCAGCGUGCCGUGCCGCCACUGACGCUGAGGCACGAAAGCGCGGGUAUCGAACAGGAUUAGAUACCCUUGUAGUC
rnacentral:rRNA from 1 species